rnacentral:rRNA from 1 species
GACGAACGCUGGCGGCGUGCUUAACACAUGCAAGUCGAACGAUGAAGCUGGAGCUUGCUCUGGUGGAUUAGUGGCGAACGGGUGAGUAACACGUGAGUAACCUGCCCUGGACUCUGGGAUAACCCCGAGAAAUCGGAGCUAAUACCGGAUAGGACCUCGGAUCGCAUGAUCUGGGGUGGACAGUUUUUCGGUCUGGGAUGGCCUCUCGGCCUAUCAGCAUGUUCGUGGGGUAAUGGCGCACCAAGGCGUCGACGGGUAGCCGGCCUGAGAGGGUGACCGGCAACACUGGGACUGAGACACGGCCAAGACUGAUACGGGAGGCAGCAGUGGGGAAUAUUGCACAAUGGGCGCAAGCCUGAUGCAGCAACGCCGCGUGCGGGAUGACGGCCUUCGGGUUGUAAACCGCUUUUAGUAAGGAAGAAGCCGCAAGGUGACGGUACUUGCAGAAAAAGGACCGGCUAACUACGUGCCAGCCGCCGCCGUAAUAC